AUUGAACGCUGGCGGCAUGCUUUACACAUGCAAGUCGAACGGCAGCGCGGGCUUCGGCCCGGCGGCGAGUGGCGAACGGGUGAGUAAUACAUCGGAACGUGCCCAGUAGUGGGGGAUAGCUCGGCGAAAGCCGGAUUAAUACCGCAUACGACCUGAGGGUGAAAGCGGGGGAUCUUCGGACCUCGCGCUAUUGGAGCGGCCGAUGGCAGAUUAGCUAGUUGGUGGGGUAAAGGCCUACCAAGGCGACGAUCUGUAGCUGGUCUGAGAGGAUGACCAGCCACACUGGGACUGAGACACGGCCCAGACUCCUACGGGAGGCAGCAGUGGGGAAUUUUGGACAAUGGGCGAAAGCCUGAUCCAGCAAUGCCGCGUGUGUGAUGAAGGCCUUCGGGUUGUAAAGCACUUUUGGCGGGAACGAAAAGGACUGUGCCAAUACCACGGUUCGAUGACGGUACCCGCAGAAUAAGCACCGGCUAACUACGUG
rnacentral:rRNA from 1 species